rnacentral:rRNA from 1 species
UACGGAGGGGGCAAGCGUUAUCCGGAAUUAUUGGGCGUAAAGCGUCCGCAGGUGGCACUUCAAGUCUGCCGUCAAAGACCGGGGCUUAACCCCAGAAAGGCGGUGGAAACUGAAGCGCUAGAGUGCGGUAGGGGUAGAGGGAAUUCCCGGUGUAGCGGUGAAAUGCGUAGAGAUCGGGAAGAACAUCGGUGGCGAAAGCGCUCUACUGGACCGCAACUGACACUGAGGGACGAAAGCUAGGGGAGCGAAUGGG